GCCGGGGUAGCUCAGCCCGGUUAGAGCGCCAGCCUCCACAUCUGGAGGCCGCGGGUUCAAAACCCGCCCCCGGCA
rnacentral:tRNA from 1 species